rnacentral:rRNA from 1 species
AUUGAACGCUGGCGGCAGGCCUUACACAUGCAAGUCGAACGAGUGGCGGACGGGUGAGUAAUGUCUGGGAAACUGCCUGAUGGAGGGGGAUAACUACUGGAAACGGUAGCUAAUACCGCAUACCAUUGGAUGUGCCCAGAUGGGAUUAGCUAGUCGGUGGGGUAACGGCUCACCUAGGCGACGAUCCCUAGCUGGUCUGAGAGGAUGACCAGCCAAACGGGGAAUGAGACACGGACCAGACGCCGACGGGAGGCAGCAGUGGGGAAUAUUGAACAAUGGGCGAAAGCCUGAUCCAGCCAUGCCGCGUGUGUGAAGAAGGUCUUAGGAUUGUAAAGCACUUUAAGUUGGGAGGCGUUACCAACAGAAUAAGCACCGGCUAACUUCGUGCCAGGCGCCGCGGUAAUAC